rnacentral:rRNA from 1 species
AGAUUGAACGCUGGCGGAAUGCUUUACACAUGCAAGUCGAACGGCAGCACGGGGGCAACCCUGGUGGCGAGUGGCGAACGGGUGAGUAAUACAUCGGAACGUGCCCAGUCGUGGGGGAUAACUACGCGAAAGCGUAGCUAAUACCGCAUACGAUCUACGGAUGAAAGCGGGGGAUCGCAAGACCUCGCGCGAUUGGAGCGGCCGAUGGCAGAUUAGGUAGUUGGUGGGGUAAAAGGCGUCACCAAGCCUGCGAUCUGUAGCUGGUCUGAGAGGACGACCAGCCACACUGGGACUGAGACACGGCCCAGACUCCUACGGGAGGCAGCAGUGGGGAAUUUUUGGACAAGUGGGGGCAACCCUGAUCCAGCAAUGCCGCGUGAGUGAAGAAGGCCUUCGGGUUGUAAAGCUCGUUUUGUCGAGGAAGAAACGGUGAGGCCAAUACCCGUCCGCUAAUGACGGUACCUGAAGAAUAAGACGACCGACAACUACGU